GGCGCCGGCGCGCAGGUUGAGACCUGCCGGUGUUGUCUGGUUAGCGACCUGUGCUGACGAGGAUGGCGUAGCGGGCAGUCGGCUGCAGCGGCAGGGGUGUUUUCCUUGCUGUCUGGUUGGCCUGCUGCCUGCUGCACUAGUGCUUGAUAGCUGGGCGCGACUGGGCACAUAUGGCGGGCGGUGCCUGUACAAACCGACCCCGGCUAUGUCCGGGAGAUGAGGCUAGUAUCGGAACCUUCGGCCUCAGACGGAGGACGUGGCGUGGCGGCACAGCCCACUUUUCCCUUGCAAGGGAGAGCCACCUUCUCUUGUCCCUUCGUACGGUAAGAAGGCUGGUGUAAUUGGUUUCUUGUAACACAAAGCAGGAAUGUGGGCGGUGAGCUGAUGUGCUGCACCUCGCCUUGUGGGGGUCUGGGACUCUGGGAGUACGCUGCACACUACGUAGUGUGGGACUACGCCAACCUGUCCCUUACCCUGUCCUAUCGCAUACACAAUACACACACGGGUAUGUUCCCCUGCAAAACACACACUUUCAAUUAUUCGCAGUGUAGUGUUGGCUCUCUCCUGUUGGAUUUGGGUUUUGCCCCGCCCCCGCCGGGGUACUACCAGAAUCACGCGUGUCCCUCAGGCUGGGGCCAUCAUCUAGCUCGGUGCACGCGCACCAACAAUGGUGCGCGUCACGGCCAUGUCCACGUCCUAGACAUCCAACUUACGCAUCCUAGCGCGACUCAAGCUGCCGAAGCCAUCUACGUUAGCACCUGCAACGGCCACGUCCCCCCAUCAGUAGACAGGCGCAGGAGCGAAGAAUUCUCCACAGCUGCCGCGCUAUUCCGCACCACCUGUCUAGCACGCAUGGCCCACAGCCACCAACACACAUGCUUGCCGGCUCAGCAGCCGCCGCAGUACAGCCUGCAUGGGGGCGGGGGGGGCAAGGGGGGCAGUUGUUGUUGUUGUUGUGCCUGACCCAAACCUGCCAUUCCUGCAUGCCACCCCAAACCUGCCAUUCCUGCAUGCCACCCCAAACCUGCCCCAGCCCUGACCCAAGCCUGCCCCAAACCUGCCAUCCCAAACCUGACACAAACCUGACCCGAACCUGACCUCGGCCCGCCACGACCCCCACCCGCACCCCCACCAGUGCCAACACCCCCACCAACACCAACACCAGCGCCGCCAGUUCCACUGCAGGGUUGGCAGGGCCUUAGAUUUAGAUAACUAAGGAUAUGCUUAUAUAGCUUAUAUAUAACUUAGACAUUAGACAGAGGCCCCCCGACGACCAUAGUCAACGCACGGUCAAACUAAUGUUGCUGCGGUAUAUAGCAUUAUAUAAGCUUAUCUAAUCUUACCCAAGGUUUAGACUGGGGCCAUACAUGCGGUACGCCGCCCACGUGCCAGGCCCCAGCAAGAUCCUCGCCGCGGGCCUUGAAGCCAGCGACGAGGAGCUGAUCCUGCAGCAGUGCGAGGAGGAGGAGGAGGAGCUGGGGGCGGCGGCGGCGGCGCAGCAGGCGGCGCAGCCGCGCCUGCAGCUGACGGCAGAGGGCAUGCCGUACAUUACGGAGACGGAGCCGCUCGUGGAGUGAACAAAGCGGCCGCCGCAGCGGAGCACGGACAGGAGGCUGCAGCGGAGAGGAAGCUGAGCCAGCUUGAGCAUUCACGCAUUCUUUCAUUAUAUAUGGGGGCUUGACGUAGACUGCGUGGGGUGCAUGGGGCCCCAUAUGGGGAGUCGAAUGAGGCUGAGAGCGGCUGCGGCGGCAUUGACGUGCAUGGGUUUGGGGACCGUCAGGGGCUGGAGUGCAGUGGGUCGGGCAGCACAGGCUUUCGGACUGUUGAUUACAGAAGGGGACGGAGAGAGCAACGCAUUAGACUACUUAGCAGCAAAAACGGCUCAGCCCAUGACCCACUUCUCCUUGGGACACCCCCCGUGUAAGGUGGGCCUGCCUAACUUAAAUAAGCAUAGAUAAGCAUAGAUAAGCUUAUCUAAGGCUUUGGUCCGCGCGGCUAUCUAAGGUUUUGGCCAACCCUGUUCCACUGUGGCCGCCCCUGUUCCCCGCCGCUCCACCCCCCACAGCGGCGCCGUGGUCUUUCACCCGGUGGACAGUCACGCAACGAUGACGUGUACCCUUGCGUGCACCCCGGGUUGGGGGAGGUUGGGUCUCCCUGUUCGAAGGCUGGCCGCACGCAGCGCAUUGCCCUGAGCCUGCUUCCGAUUCCACACUCCUGCCCCCCGCCCAAUGUCGCUGUGUCGCUGUGCCGAUCCUUGCCCGCCGGAGCCCCCAGCCCCACCGAGCCAUCCACUCCAGCGCCUGUCACUCCGCCACCGUAUUUAGCGCCCCCCUGCCGGGAAGGGGUAGUUGGCGACAUUCGACGACCAUAUGCAGCCCCACGCGGCGAGAAUGCGCCCGCGGAAAUGCCCAAUCUUUCUCGCCCGAUGGCCUGCCUCUGGGGGCGUUUCUUGCCGUUCCCUUAAGAUGCAAGCCCUGGCCAAGGCCCUUGCUUGCCCUAGCCGCCUCCGCCUCCAUUGCCGAACGCGGCAGGCUGCGGGAUUUCGCCGCCACCUCUAACCUCUUCCUUGGUGGCACCCCGCCAGCAGCGCGGCCGUUGCCUGCGCCAUGAGGGCACAUCAUCCCGAGCAAGGUCAGCAUUUGGCCGACACGCAAAACCCGCGCUGCUGCGAGCUCCCUCCCAACGCAGUCUCCGAACGGGAGGUGGCAGGGGUAAGAGGCGGUGGGACCCUGCUGCCAGGUGCAGAUGUAAAUGUGUUGGGCAAGUUACACAGGGCACGAGGCGACGAGGGUCAAGGCACACCAGGGCACACUGUCACGGCAGGCGAGUGCAUGCGACACACACACACACACACAAAAAAAAUACCGUAUUGCCACGCUCAAUUGGUGAUUUUAUAAUUGGUGACAGGAAGAAAUCGCGUUGGAAUUAAACAGUCUGACACAGAUUUUGGUGAUGGGCUCUGGCAGAAGCCAGGCCGAAGUACACCCGUGUCACAGAAUUGGUGAUGGGACCCCCCAAAUCGUACCCAGCGUCUCCGGCCCCGGCAGCUGCAACACAAGCCCCGCGCUUGCAGGCGCAGUCAGGCGCUAUCCAGCCAAUGUCCCACAGCUUAAGCUGCUUAGGGCCUUUGGGGGCUACACUGAGCAUUGUGCGUACACUAUUGCUUAGUAUAGGAAUAGCGUCACUAGCCAAAGCAGCCUGUUUGCGUGUUUUCGCCCGACUUGGAUUCAGAGUGCACAGGCAUUGGUGACGGGCUCUGGCAAAUCCUAGUCGACAAUGUUCCCUGCUACCAAAUUGGUGAUUUUCACCAAAUUGGUGUCACCAAUUGAGCGUGGCAGUACGGUAGAUAAACCUUCAUCCUGGGACAGCUCCGACUAACCCCCAACUAACUCGUGUACGGCACCCCAACCCCCCUCAGCCGUACAGGAGGUAGCGUGGCAGUCGGCAGCUGCGCGAGUGUGAGCAGGUAGUUGUAUGGCGGCCGGCUCGGAAGCUACCUGUAUGUAGUGACGCACACGGGCAGUUGGCGCUAGUCGACAGGCGCGCGAGUGGGAGCUGGCAGUUGAGCGCGCACGCGUGUGGGAAGCUGCGUCUGAGCACGGCGGAGCACGGCAGAGGCUGGUGGUUGGCGCGGCGCGCGAGUGGCAGUGCAUAGUCGUGCGCCGUCUGGGAAGCUGCGUGUGUGAGCUGCGUGUAAGCUCAGAGAGACGCAUGGGGCUGCCCCUGUGCCAUAAGCUGCCUCUGGGUGCAAACGCUUUCACACGGUUGACAGUUGGGCUCCGGCGGGGGUGGGAAUCGCGCGAGUGCACGACGGGCGCUGGGGGGCAGGGCGCAUACACGCAGAACUCUAGUAAAACCGAGAAAUGGCCAUUCGUAGGCGCUGGCGCAUAGCCAGCUGUAAACAUUAUCGUACUUACUGGGACAGUUAACGGUGGGGGGUAAGCCGUGCGCUCCUUCAAUUCAUCGCCUCAGGCUCAGGUCCUUAUGCAGCUGCUCCACGCGGGUACCACCAGGCGGCUGGAUGGGGUCUAGGGGAGCCCCUUCUUCCACGGGCCUUUUCACUAUGAGCAAUAACUCGUACAAGGGUGCUGACCCUUUUCUCGACCCUUUUCCCUCGACCCUGGUGAAACUGGGUUGCCGUCCGGGGGUGCGUUUUCCCAGCCAAACCCGCACGCGUGGCGGCCCUUGGACGUUGCCCCGGGGCAAAUCCUACCGCACAGAUUAGACACCGCCUUUAAAUAGGUACAUAACCAACAUCAUGAUUAGCCAGAAGUGGUCGGCAAACGUCCAAAUUAUGCUUAUCGGGGCUCAAGUCGCGAAAUUGACCCAAGCCCAUAUCUCACAUAUGCGCUGUUUGGGGCCUGAAUCAAUUGCCGCCAAUGUAAUUUCUAGUAUAUAUGUAAACAAGAUAGCUUCAGGCUAAGUUGGCGGGGUCCUGGCGAGCGCGACAAUUAGCAUUUCCACUUGAGCUCUCGCUCGAAAUUAUGCCCGAGCACCAUCCAGGGACCUUAUUAUAUGUAUAGGACGCCAAUUCAAUGGUCGGGGCGAUAAUCUGGGCAUAGACCUCGCGAUCCCGCCCUUGACCCCUGGAGUGGUACCCGCGUCGAAACCCUAAGGACCGACCCGAAUCAGCAUUGCAGCGGUGUCAGGACAGCCCGGGACAGUCUGCAAGGACCAAAACCCAACUGUCCUAUCCGAAUCCGAAAGUGCGCAAAGCAAUCCUCACCUGCCCUAUCCCAAUCCUCAAGUGCCAACACCAAUCCUCACCCGAACAAACCCAAUCCCCAAAAGUGGUAUUCCAAUCCCUGGCCGGUCAAACCCAAUCCUCAAGUGCUGGGUCCAAUCCUACUCUGGCCAAUCCAAUCCACGGAGGGGUGACCGGCGGCGGGACCAAUCCUAUACCCCAUACCACCCCUCUGCCCGCGUGAGCUGCUCGCAGGCUGCCAGAGCUCGGAAGCGGCAUCCUGCUGCUUUAAGGACGUUUCAGGACAUGGGCCUCCGGGCCAAGGCAUUGCGCGUCUGUGACGCCGUCGAGAAAAUGUGUGGUGCUUGCGUUUGAUGGGGAUGUCGGCAGACCUCUGGCCUGUCGCGCCUUGUUGUGCGUUGGUGCUGCCGCCAAAAGACCUAAACGAGAUGAGGGGUGUUACGUGGCGGUGGGGCUUUGGCGGGCUUCGGCUUGGCUUCGACUCAUGUGCGUAACACUAUGAAGGUCGGCAGCCAACCAGGGGGCGGGUGUUGUUUCUCUGGGUCGCAGAUGGCCCUUCGCGGCGUGGGUACGGCGUGCCCCCGCUUGUCGGGUUGUCCCUUCAAUUGUAAUCCGCAUCCUUUAAGGAUGGUCUGGCAUUUUUAACAAAGGUUGUUUCAGAGCCGCUCAGCCUCUGGAGGGAUCUGCACAGGCCUCUGAAGGGCUCUGAGGGCUCUGAAGGGGAGGGCUUGAGUCCGGCACGCAAGCGGCCUGCGCGCCGAAGCAGAACACGGGCUGAGCCAGCACACAAGUGAGCACCGGGAAGUUCCCAUUCCAGCGCUGGCAAGGCGUGUGAAGUGGUACAGUGCACCAUGCAGUGGGUGCAUGGGCGCGAGGGCACGUAGGCCCGAGUGGCUUCACCGGUCGCUCUGCUCGCUUGUACGGCAGCCAGGUCGCAUCCGAGCGCCCUCACAACAACAGCCGCCAUCGGAGCAAUGCCACAUCCGAGUCAGUUAACGUGCCUCGUCCCGUGGGCCCUCAAAACGACAGCACUUCACACACACAGUUGCGCUCUACUUGCACCGGCGCUCCCAUUCGUAACACGCGCCGCACAUGCCAUGCCUGUACCCGGCGGCCUUGGUGCCACACUUGCAGCGGCAGCCGUCGGGGCCCAGCAGCGCUGCUGCCAAAUGGCAACGCGCCGCCGCGAAGGCCGCAUUCAAUAAGUGCGCAACGGCGGGUUCUGGGCUCGGCCCGCCGGCGCCCCGCCCAGCGGCCAGCAGCAUUGCAUUCUUGAGGAUGGCGCAGGCGGUGCAAUCUGGAUGGGAUCUGUGACGCGUCACGACGUACUACGGUACUAGUGGCACGCAGCACACUACUGCACAAACGAGUCGCUGUCGAUCACCAGCUUGUCAGUGCCAUUUUGGGCUAAGGGGUGAAAGUUGGUGCUGAAAAAGAGGCUUGGUGCUUGUAAACGCCUGCCUGCCUGCAGCACCCACACCCGCUUAUCCCUCAUACGGCCCAUUGUAUGUUACAGCUGUGGGUCUGCCUCUGACCCAGGCCCAACACACGGCUGCUGCAGCCUACCAGUCACUUACGGACUGGCGAGAGCGCCCUCAAGCACGCGGCACUCAACACCAAAGCCUACGGCACGGAAUUCCCUCCAGAAGCAGGGCCGACCGCGAUGAAAGAGAACCACCUCCGUUUAGCUACUCAGUGGCAGGUGGCGUAGAGACAGCUCGCACAGAACAGACUCGCACACACCUCACAUCACAUGCAACACAAAACACGGCCCAGUACCCCCCCCCCAGCCUUAUCGCUGCAUAAGCUCGCAGCCCACACGUACUGGUGCAACUCGCACUCCAUCCCUGCAGGGCUCAGCAGCCCAGCGGGGAUACCAUCACCAUUAACACCAUCGCGCCGCAGACCCGCUCGCUCAACUUGCCCAUGCUGGACCACGCACACUAAUUGCUCGCUCGGGCAACAGCAGCAGCUAGCUGCAAGUCCGCGUCCUGGAGCGAGCUGCUCGCGGUCAUGCUUGGUAGUCCUUGCCGUAAACCACUGCCAGGCGCCCGCGCGCCUUCUUGGCCUCUCCUCGGCAACGACAGCAUCCACUCGUCUCGCCGGUUCACUGCCAAGUAUUGCCUUCCCAGCCGCCCCAGCCCCAGCCCGUGCACAUGACCCUCCUGGACUCUUGCUCGUUCUCCACCACGUCACAUUGCGCAAUGCCACUGUCGCCGGCACUUCGCUCAGCUGCGCAAGCUAGCACCGUCACAGCCGACUGCAGCCUUCGAGGCCCCUCCUUGACAGCAGGUCCGCGGUCUGCAGGACGAACAGAAGCGGACCAUGGACGGAGAAGCACGAUUGACGGUGGAGCAGCGGCGCUGCCUGCAGGUGAAGUGGCGUGAGGCAAUGCAGGUCGGUCGCAGGCAGCGGGAAACUGUAGGAUGAGGUUCUGUACCCACAUGCGCCUUCCCCCGGACUCCUCCUGCCCAACUCAAACCACGCACGCCUCUCCUCCUGCGUAACGAGCACGCCUAAUAUUAACCCCGCACACGGAGGUGCAGGUGCAGGCGCAUGCUAUACGCUUACCGGCCCCGUCUGCAGCGCUGGAGAGCAGCUGCGGCGCCGAGCGCCCCACGAACAGCAGCACGGGGGGGGAAUAGUGCAAGGUAACGCACGGAUGGUACCGACAGAGUCACAGCCAUCACCCGGAGCGGCUUGCCGGGGCGCAACUUCAACACCCAGUCAACCAGGGCACGGCAAUACUUGAUCUUGGCAUGGUGAUAGUGGCCCCUCAUCCCACUGAGUGACACUGCUCUGCGUCACCCUCUACCCAACCGGCCCAGUGCGCGAUGGCCCCGCUCUGCGGCCUGUCCCCUUAACUGCACGCCGAUCUUCACCAUGCUCACCAGCAGCAGCCGGCGGCAGCGAGCCUGCAGCAGGGGAGGCACAACGGAUCCCAGUGCGAAUGCAGCGUCAAGGUCGCGGGCAAACGACUACCCCAAUGUGCGUUGGAUUGUCCCGCGCAGCUGCUGCGUGUACAGGGUCACGGGUGGAUCCCACAGCAGCACAGGUGGAUCCCAGCGGCAGGAGUGUUCGCGCGCUCUUCACGGUAGCUCAAUCACAUACUAUAGGUGGAUCCCGUGACGGCCAGCGUGCUCGCAUGUCCAUUCACCAAAAGCUCCGGGGUGACGACACAACUCACGCCCCUAGCUUCGUAACGAGUCCUCCUGCCUCCAGCGACUACUACCUCUUACCUUGCUGCUACCUACUGCGACUGGUUGUCCUCGCUGGCUGCUAUCAGCAGGCCUUCUGAUGUCACAGCUCCUUCCAGAUACUUGCGCAUCAACUCGCGGUCAUACCCAGGCGAGACCCAGCCCGCCUGCGACACUAUGACUUCGCCAGGCUUCUGCCAGCCGGCGCUCACAGCGUGCUUGAUUGCGUGGUGUGCGUGAAAUGCCAGCAGGCGGCGGGCGGGCAGGUUGUCGCCUGCCACGUGCAGGUACUUUGUGUGCACGUCCUUCCACUUGUGGGUAUCCGACUUGGCGGUGUCGCCCGUUCCAAUGAACUGUUCCCGCGGGUUCAGCAGCAACGACUCCUUCAGCACGUAGAUCUGCAUUAUCAAGGGAUCGCACAACUUUCAAGUGCGGAAUAUGGCCCUUUUGCAAGCCAUCAAGACACGAUUCCUCGAAGCCAUCCGAGUGCGCUCCCCUGAGAGAAUGAUGAGUAGCCAUUAGUUUGAAGGGGCUGAUCCGGGGGCAUCAUACUCUUCAAUGACAGCUCCACAUUUCUGGAGGGACUGCUGCAAUGCGGCGAAUUGACUACCCACCCCUCACCUGCCCCGGAACCAGCAUUCUUGCGCACCUGAUAACACUCAACGCCGUUCUCGUUCUGGGGAAUGAUGGCCAGUUCAAACCGGUCGAAAGCGGUCUCCACUUCCGUGCGGACCAGGAUGAUGUUGCGCGGGUCGUGCACGGAGGUGACGCCCAGCAGCGGCUGCACAGCAUAGGAGUAAAUGGAGGAUUUCUUGUUUUGGUGUGUGUGCGUGUGUGAGCAGCUCUAAUCACAUAGACUGUUGAGGAAAGGACUGGCUCAAGAUUGAUAACAAGCGUCACCCGGACCCAUACGCGCAACAGCAAGAGGAUACAAACUCUGAAGCGCGGCGGGGGGAAGGGGAUUCAGUAAGCAACUAUAAAGUGGAUGCGAAGCGGCCCAAGGACAGGGCCGGGUGGAAGAGACCCAGUCUGGUUGGUAGCAUGCUCAUGUGUUAGCCCACUCCGGGCACAAUUAAUAAGAUAGUAUGCAAAUCCACACCGCAGCCAACCAGACUUACCAGGAAACCCCGGUUCCAGCCCUGACGGAAGAUAUGCCCCGCCUUGAUACUGGCGAUUGGCAUGUGCUCUCCGGUCACCAUGCACUGCACGGUCUUGGGGCUGGCGCUGUAGCCGUAGUACCUGAAGGCAUUCUCGCGGUAGGGCGUGCUGUCCUUGCUGGAUGUCGCUGUGAACUCGCCCUGCAUCAGGACUCGUACGAACUGGCUCUGGUCCCUGAUUUCCUCCCGGAUCUCCCCAAGCUCCAGCUUGAGCUGCUUGGCCUGCUCCCCAAGCUCCAGCUUGAGCUGCUCCAGCCGCUCGAGAACAACUGCAGGUGUUUAUUCCGGAGCAAACACAUGUUUAGUGAUUGGCGUACAAUCUAUGUGCGUUCACACCAUGCACAGAGCUGAAGGCAUGAGAGGUAAUAGCGCUUACUAGAAGCCCCAAGGAAGAGCGUGUGGAAGAGCAGUUCCUACACAGAUAGACCGGGGUAUUAUCGUACCCGGGGGAUUACCGUAUUGAGGCCAGUGCUCACUAGUUUCAUACGAUUUCAGGCUAUGCCCCCGGACUUAAGGUUUAUGCACCGUGUUCGCAAUUACUGAGGGGAUAAACGGGGGGUCCGGCACUAGGUUAGCACCCACGGGUUUUGGACAUGCGUGGCCGCGGUGGUCGACAUGUCCGCGACCGAGGUAGCCCCAAAAACGUCGCCAAAAUGCGCAAUAAUAAUCAUGUAUAUGUUACAUUGGUAAUACAUAGCAGCUCAGGGAGUUCAACAAGCUUGCUGCGUUGCGACGUUCAAUGUCUCUCGAAAUGCACUUGCCGUGGACCUGAAAGAUAAAAUGUAAGCGUUUACGAGGCUUUCGGUAUAUGUUUAUGAAUACAAAAUUAUGGUGCAGCGCAAAAGCGGCUGCGUGCACGGCCGGCACGGUUCGCAGGCGGGGGAUCGCAGCUCGAAGCAGCACACGGCCGUCGGCUCAACGACCAGAGCUCGCAGACAUGCCAUAUAUUGUAUUGGAAGCAUGUGCGCCGGCGGGCGCAGUCAGCGGCGGGCAUUUGGGAGCUGUUCCGAGUCCAUACGAUAAUACCCCGGUUUUCCAGAAAGUGGCGUAAUGGACCCCCUGCGCGCGGACCCACGCACAUGUGCUAUGUUGCUAGCGCGCCCCCCCCCACUGUGCCAACCUCUUCCAUAUAUCCCUAUGGUCGUAUGACCCGGUUUACAUGACCAACAUGCUCUUGGGUCGGCACCAUGGGUCGGUACCAUGCUCUAAAAACAUACGAUAAUACCCCGGUCUACCUGUACUGACGUAUUAAUGAGCCAGUGGGUAAGCAGAAAGGAUACAUCAAGAUAGCAGUUGAAGAUUGCAGACUAACACUACAGUACCCCAAUGCGCUUUCAGUCUAAUCAUAGGGCAGCUGUGCCCUUCAGUGGCCGAGGUGGAUCCCCGCGACGGCCAGCGUACUAUGCCGUGCUCUUCGCGAUGGCCCGCCCAUAGGAUGCUAAGGCUGGUGCUAAGGCGCGGCGCCUAGACCCGAGGCCAGAAUACAAACUCACCGUCCCCUGGCGCGCUCCCUACGCCCAAGCCAGUCGCCGCGCCUGCAUCACAUGAAAGCGACCGAACCACAGAUGCAAACUAAGUGAAGAUAUGAACAAAAGGCAUGCGCAGGUUGGAACGGCGCUGCACGUGCACGAUGCAGGCUGGUGAACGGGGAGGGACAGCGUGCACACCCAACCUCACUGUGCACCACCCCCGUCCAGCGGCCACCCUCUGAGCCGCGCCGUGUCGUGAUCAUCCGCUACCCUGUGCGCAUCGUCCCACUUACCAGCUUGUGCUGUGCCCUGGCCAGCCGCCGCACCUGCACAACGUGAAAGUGAUCACAAGGCAAUGCAGGCAGUCAGCAUCGCCAGGGCGGAACGAAUCACGCCCCGCCAACAAGGCCAGAGCCCGAGGGCCGUGAGGCUCCGGCGAAUGGCUGGCUUCGCCUAGGCUCUGAGACUUUGUGCCCAGGCGGAGCCAGCCUCUUGAACUACCCUGGUACGCAUCCCCUGUCACCUGGCUCUCCGCAAAUUUCUUCGACCGAACCCGACCCAAACCAUCGUUGAGGCUCGUCCCGCACCCGUCUCCGAUGCCGCUCCGCGUCCGGGGCCUUGCCCCAUGCCCGCUAAUCCGCUCCCGGAGGACUUGAAGGUCAGAACUUCGAUUACGCAAGGCUUGAAGCUAUUUGGAGGAAGGUUUCGUGGAAAGGACACGGACCAGGAUGGUGGCCUCGCCUCUCACUCACCGGCACUGGUCUGGCACCGCCACGUCCCACCCGCAGCCCCAACAACUACCAAUGUGCCGAUCCCACCCUAAAGCCUCUGAGAGAUGCUCACCAGCAGCAGCCGGCAGCGAGCCUGUAGGGGGAGGUGCACGCCAUGGGAGCGGUCGGGGGACGCGUUAACAUAACAAGUUGCAUGCCGCUGCAGGUUUCAGGCGCGCGAUCUUGACCUAGACAAAAUGCCAACCACACAAUAAACAUGAUGAACUUGUUUGGGCUCCACACAUACCGCGCGCUUCGAGAAGCAUGAGCUCCUUCUUCCGUAGCAUGAGCUCCUUCUCCCGGAAGUAGCGCUUGUCCUCGGCAUCCUUCGCCGACUCCGCUUGGGCCGACACCCGGGCUAUUUCCGCUCCUAUGUCGUUAAGUUCCUGUUGCAGUUUCUCUCCUUCCUCCACUUUCUCUCCUUCCUCCUUUUGCCAAGGUCCUUGAGGUGACAGGAGUGGGUGGGAUACAGCCAUAACGCUAAGUAUAAGUCAGGGCCGAGCGAUUAAAAUGUUGCUCACGGACGACACGGUCUCGGCCAUGGCGACCUCGAUGGAACCUUAUCUAUGCUGCAGCCAGUGUUUGCAAAUGCAUGGAAUGGUUAGGACUUGUCUGGAAGGGACAAGGAAGCACCAGGAAGCGGACCCGACCGCAACCCAAAUCGGUGGCAGAUGGGGCCUAAGCGAUGGGCCCAUCGGGCCCGGUUCAACAGUUUGGCCAAGUCAGGAGCAAUUUUUCGAUAGCGUGGCACCUUCGCGCGAUUUUGGCAAAUUACUUGUCAGAAACAACGAUUUCGCUUAUCAUAAGGAUUUCCCGUAGCCCGGCUCAAAAAGAUAGUUCUUUGAUUCUAGCGCCGAUCGAUAAGGUUGAGAUAAGCAACUGCUCAUCAGCCGUGGCCUGGAGGAAACAUAUUGAAAGAAGCGUUGUCUAGCGUUACCGUGGACCUGCGUGGUCAAGACCUCCCUUAAUGCCGGCCAUAACUUGCCAUUCAUAUAAUAUGAACAUAGUACAUUUACAUAUUUGAAGAAUAUAAUGAGGGAACAAAACGGCUGAGCGAAUUGCUAGGUUUGGACGUGGCAUCCGUGCCUUCCCCUCGCAGCUUAUGGAGGUGCUAACAAGCUGCGGGAUACAUGGGCUGUUGGUGUAUCCCAGUAAGUGCUUGCGGUCUGUGAACGCCUAGGCUUGGGCACGCGGGUACCACUCCGGCAAGUCCCUAGGGACUGCGUGUGUCCAAUGCCCUAGACUGCCGAAAUGUCAUCAUGUGACAUAUAAUAAGGUCCCUGAAUGAUUUCCGGGCACAAACUCGAGCGGGAGCCGAAGUCGAAAUGCUAAAUGUCGCGCUCGCCAGGACUUACUGGAAUUCGCCCUACGCAGUCCGGAUGACAUCUCUCGGUGAACCUUAGUCGACGGCACUAGAUACAGGCCCAAAAUACCGCCUAUGCGAGAUAUGGGCUCUGGUCAAUUUCGCGACUUGAGCCCUGACCAACAUGUUUUGUCCUCUGCCGAGCGCUAAUGCCCACUUAUGAUGUAAGUUAUGUACCUACAAAAAGGCGGCGUCUAAAUACUGCGGUAGGAUUUGCCUCGGGCGACUCCCAGAGCCCCCCAAACGUGUGGGUUUGGCUAGGAGCAUGCACCCCCCCGGACAAUUGUGCACAUAACUUUUUGAUGCCUAUUCUUUUUACAGUGGCGAUUGCGUAUCCUGCAUACACUGUACGUACUCUAUCCAUCACGCUAUCACGCUUUUAGUUUUCACGACGAAAAUAUUUGCGUGUCCCACUGCACACCCCAUGCACGGCUGCAGCCGUACGGCCUUUCAGGUCGCCUCCUCGUAGCUCCGCACCAUAGUAGCCGUAUACUACACAACGAGACGAAGCCGUAGGUAUGCUGGCGGCCUGGUCAGAUGAUACCUAUUGGGUCUACCAGGCUGUCAAAGUUUGGACACAGCAAAUGACCAGAGUGGUACCCGCGUGGGCUUGGGCUUUGUGGCCUCAUGGUAGGUGCCUAAUGGUAGGUGCCUCAUGGAAGGUGUUAACAAUUACAGUGCCCAUAAGUUAUGGGGGGAAUAAGGUGUGCGAGAUUGAGCACUGCGGCGGUGCCGCCGACCCACCGCCGUGAUGCAGAACAAAGUUGUAACCGGCGGCACUGUUAUCCUCAUUCGCUCCUGCCUCACCAUUCGCCACAGGCCCACGGGGGCCAAACAUUCAACAUCUCUGUUGUAUUUCUCAACUCCUCUGGAGUUUUUUGGGCUGAGUUCCCCGAGCGCAGCGAGACAGACCUGCUUCUGGAGGGAAUUCCGUGCCGUAGGCUUUGGUGUUGAGUGCCGCGUGCUUGAGGGCGCUCUCGCCAGUCCGUAAGUGACUGGUAGGCUGCAGCAGCCGUGUGUUGGGCCUGGGUCAGAGGCAGACCCACAGCUGUAACAUACAAUGGGCCGUAUGAGGGAUAAGCGGGUGUGGGUGCUGCAGGCAGGCAGGCGUUUACAAGCACCAAGCCUCUUUUUCAGCACCAACUUUCACCCCUUAGCCCAAAAUGGCACUGACAAGCUGGUGAUCGACAGCGACUCGUUUGUGCAGUAGUGUGCUGCGUGCCACUAGUACCGUAGUACGUCGUGACGCGUCACAGAUCCCAUCCAGAUUGCACCGCCUGCGCCAUCCUCAAGAAUGCAAUGCUGCUGGCCGCUGGGCGGGGCGCCGGCGGGCCGAGCCCAGGACCCGCCGUUGCGCACUUAUUGAAUGCGGCCUUCGCGGCGUAUUAGUAUUUGCUACGUAUUAGUAUUUGCUACGUAUUAGUAUUUGCUACAUUUAACUUAAAUGCCGGGUAGCGACUCGGACUCGGACUACGAGCCUGCCUUGAGCCGCCGCAAGGCUGACGCAAAGCGCAAGCGCGACCGCCGACAGCAGCUGUCCCCCGAGGCGCGCAGGCCCGAGCUUGACUCACACGCUCAGCUGCUUUGUAAGACCCACGGAGGAGAAACUGUGCCUGCCUGUGUCCCGUUGGAUAGGGGGGACUAUGACAGCCAGAGGGUGGAAUGGCAGCGCAGAGGUACUGCCUGCGUCGGCAAAAAGUAUCAUACUGGCGCAAACUGCGACUGCUACGUAUUAGUAUUUGCUAUUGCCUAUUGCAUGUAAAUAGGUGGCAGGGAAAAUUCGGGCGGAGCGAGAAGUGCCUUCUUGCGAGAAUCGACAAUUGACUUCUGCGAGGUCGCGCGAAAAGCAAGUCAAGCCCGCGUUAAUUGCAUCUAUACUUCAAAAUAUGUUGACGGCAAUUUGCGUGGGGAACCAUAGCGCGAGCUUUCGCCGACUUGCUAGGAAAUGCCUGUCGCCGGUCUGAAUGCUACGGGUGGUCGCUCUCGCCCCGCGCCUGGCCCGAGGAGUGUCGGACGUCGGGUAGUUCUUGGGGCAAGGUUGAGGUGUAGAAAAUGCCAGGGACUGGCGGCAAGGGAGUCCUUGACUGGCGUGGGUGGCGUGUGGGAUCCAGACACGCGUGGCUUGGGCUGGCCCAGGUGUUCCCCUGAGUUCUGAGCCGGAGCCCGUGCAGCAUCGGCAUGGGCCCUGAAGCUCGUUUGGUUGCAGAAGUCAACCAGCCUAUGGCUUUAUUGGGGCCCAUGUAUUCCUAGGGGCUCAGCCCAUUUUCCAGCUGUACAAAGCUGACACCCCUUGUUUAUGGACUCCUCGCACUUGUGGGUUGCCGCGGCCUUUGCAACUGGAUAGUGGGCCAACAGGGUACUGGCCCGCCAAGCAUGCAGGGCGGCCGGGCGCACAGGCGGUGCUCGUGUUGGCUUGCCCCUUGCCCCUUCGGAUGGAGCCCUUGCGGUCGCAUCGGGGCCUUUUUGGGCUGAGCCCCCUGAGCGAAGCGAUCCAGGGGGGGCGAAGCCCCCCAGGAUUGCCCCUGUCCGUGCCUGCCUGCCUGCCUGCCUGCCUGCCUGCCUGCCUGCGUUGACAAAAAGUGCCAAACUGGUGCAAACCGCGAGCGCCACGUAUUAUAAAUUGCUAUUCCCUAUUGUAAAAAAAUAGGCGGCAGGGAAAACUCGGCUGGAGCGAGAAGCGACCUCGCGAGUCCAUGGACUUCUUAACUUUCGCGAGGUCGCGAGGUCGCAAGGAAAGCAGCCCUGUCACGCGGAUUCCACAAAGGAAGAGCUGCCAACUUCAAACUUUCUGCCUGGAAGUUGUCAUUCCGUUUGGUGGCUCGCGUGCCCGCGACGUCCAAGUGUGCCAACACUGCGGGACUGUGUGGGUAAGUGGGAUGGCAGGUUUGGGGCAGGUUUGGGUCGGCAGGUCGGUUUGGAGAUGAUGACACGGGAUGACACGGGAUGACACGGGAUGACACAGGGCGGUUUGGAGAUGAUACGGGGUGACACACGGGAUGACACAUGGGAUGACACACGCCCUGUUUGCAUGUUGAACUGCAGGGCCGCGACGCCAACUCGGCUACAAACAUGCGGCAUGCGGCGGUGGCGGUGGCGGUGGCGGUGGCGGCGGUGCAGGGCCUGGAGACGGCGGUGGCGGCGGCGGUGGCACCGCGCCUACCGGCGGCAACAGCAGCGGCCACGGCGUUGGGCCCGGUGGUGGUGGCGGCACGGGCGGCCCUGGGCCCAGCGGCAGUGGCGGCGCGCAUGUUCGGAGCAGAGGGGGCGGGCAAGGCCACGUGGAGGAGGACAGCGCGGCGCCGCCUUCAAAGCGGCGCCGGCGCGCAGGUUGAGACCUGCCGGUGUUGUCUGGUUAGCGACCUGUGCUGACGAGGAUGGCGUAGCAGGCAAUCGGCUGCAGCGGCAGGGGUGUUGAGAGGUUUUCCUUGCUGUCUGGUUGGCCUGCUACCUGCUGCACUAGUGCUUGAUAGCUGGGCGCGACUGGGCACAUAUGGCGGGCGGUGCCUGUACAAACCGACCCCGGCUAUGUCCGGGAGAUGAGGCUAGUAUCGGAACCUUCGGCCUCAGACGGAGGACGUGGCGUGGCGGCACAGCCCACUUUUCCCUUGCAAGGGAGAGCCACCUUCUCUUGUCAGUUACCUUCAGAGCCCUGCAGAGCCCUUCAGAGCGAUUCAGAGCCCUGCAGAGCGAUUCAGAGCCCUUCAGAGCGCUUUAGAGCCCUCCAGAGCCCUGCAGAGCCCUCCAGAGCGCUUUAGAGCCCUCCAGAGCCCUUCAGAGCCCUCCAAAGCCCUC
rnacentral:lncRNA from 1 species